rnacentral:rRNA from 1 species
AUGUUUGAACAAUUUGGGGAGAUUUUGUAUGAGUGUGGAGCUUAUCAGGUGGAGGAGAUUGAGAAACACAAGACAUACCUAGCAAUACAUAGCGAAGCAGAGAAAAGGGAAAAGUGGUGUAGAGUAUCUUACAUGGUGACUAUGAUUGACGGUGGAGAUGAGUUCGAGUGCGAGUGUGGGCAGUUUGCACAUAUGGGGCUGCUUUGCAGCCAUGUUCUGAAGGUUAGUGGUUUUUUGAACUACUAUGUGGAUUCUUUUUGA